rnacentral:rRNA from 1 species
GACGAACGCUGGCGGCGUGCUUAACACAUGCAAGUCGAACGGAAAGGCCCUGCUUUUGUGGGGUGCUCGAGUGGCGAACGGGUGAGUAACACGUGAGUAACCUGCCCUUGACUUUGGGAUAACUUCGGGAAACUGGGGCUAAUACCGGAUAGGAGCUCCUGCUGCAUGGUGGGGGUUGGAAAGUUUCGGCGGUUGGGGAUGGACUCGCGGCUUAUCAGCUUGUUGGUGGGGUAGUGGCUUACCAAGGCUUUGACGGGUAGCCGGCCUGAGAGGGUGACCGGCCACAUUGGGACUGAGAUACGGCCCAGACUCCUACGGGAGGCAGCAGUGGGGAAUAUUGCACAAUGGGCGGAAGCCUGAUGCAGCAACGCCGCGUGCGGGAUGACGGCCUUCGGGUUGUAAACCGCUUUCGCCUGUGACGAAGCGUGAGUGACGGUAAUGGGGAAAGAAGCACCGGCUAACUACGU